AACCUAGAACCCACAAAGGGU
rnacentral:snRNA from 1 species